GUAGGGUGCAAGCGUUAAUCGGAAUUACUGGGCGUAAAGCGUGCGCAGGCGGUUUUGUAAGUCUGACGUGAAAUCCCCGGGCUCAACCUGGGAAUUGCGUUGGAGACUGCAAGGCUGGAGUCUGGCAGAGGGGGGUAGAAUUCCACGUGUAGCAGUGAAAUGCGUAGAGAUGUGGAGGAACACCGAUGGCGAAGGCAGCCCCCUGGGUCAAGACUGACGCUCAUGCACGAAAGCGUGGGGGGAGCAAACAGGAUUAGAUACCCUGGUAGUCCACGCCCUAAACGAUGUCUACUAGUUGUCGGGUCUUAAUUGACUUGGUAACGCAGCUAACGCGUGAAGUAGACCGCCUGGGAGUACGGUCGCAAGAUUA
rnacentral:rRNA from 1 species